rnacentral:tRNA from 1 species
GGAGCGGUGGCAGAGUCUGGUCGAUCGCAACUGCCUUGAAAGCAGUCGACGGUUCACACCGUCCGGGGGUUCGAAUCCCUCCCGCUCCG